rnacentral:misc_RNA from 1 species
UUUAUCAAGCAGCAAGCCACCAAAAGAUGCACAUAAGCUUUCCCAAUUUAUACUAUAUCAAAAACUUAUUUUGCUUCUAACUAACAAACUUCAUUUGCAUUCACAGUUCACACCUUGCAACAUUAGUUUCUACGGUAGGAUUUUUAUGCAAAAAUUAAAUAGUUAUCAGCAAUACUCUCCACACCAUGCACAUAUAAUACACCUGUCACACCUGUAUAGAUAUUACCAUUCAAAACCACUAAAUGUACCAAUACAAACCAUUCAAAACCACUAAAUGUACCAAUACAA